GGUCCCGCCGCCGCCGCUGCAGCCGCCGCCGCCGGGCAGUGGAGGUGACUUUCCUGCGCAGCGCCGCUCCUGAGGGCCGAGAACCCACAGGGAGUGCGACCCCUCUGCACGCUGUGAGUGGGCAAUGUUCGAGGGACUCGAGCCGAUCGAAGGUUGAGGAGCCGCUCGCCUGGGAGUGGGGAGUGGACGGCCUGGAAGAGCCGCCCCUCUUUGGUUUCUCUCUCCCGCCUGCAGUCCGCACCCCUCCGAGAUUCGUGCCCCACUGGACGGUUUGCGAAGGCUGAGGCUGCCUUGGGGACUCACAAAAGGCCACAGGGGUGAUUCGAUGUGUAAAUAGGGAAACAAUCAUCAGCACACAAUCCGGCUAAAGGGAUAACAUAUGAGUUUGCUUGUUGCCCCUCAUGGGAUUCUUCUCUUUUUAUAGCAGGACGCCCUGUAGUGCUCUUGGCGGUCCACGAAAAAGUUGGAAUCCGCCUCCUCAUUUCUCCGGUCGGUGAGUGGCAGAAGGAAAUCGCCAAUCAUGUUUUCCCGCUUUGCCUCCCCAACUCGGAAACUUGCAACUUGCAGUGUCCUGGAGGUUGGGGCAGUUUGGGGUCUCUUGGCUGCUGUCCAACAGAUUUAUCUCUAAGGGCAGUGUCCUGGAUGGGAGGUCCAAGUAGGAAUGGGCGACAUUUACCUCCCUCUCCGGGAGCAGCCCUGCACACUAGGGCCCAAAAUUCUGCAAGAGAGCUUGGAAGUUCUUCAUCCAUUCCACUUGUUUUUCUACUCCACACACCCUUCUAGAACAUGUCGAUUACCAACUGCUCUUCGAAACUUUUCCAUAAGUGUCUCUUCCCGUGUAUUUCAGAGCACCAGGCAAAUACAAGCAGAGAGACCCGGAAAAAAAAAAUUAUGAAGACAGCAUUAAUGAUAAAAUUAACGUGGCUGAGUGGAUUGUCAAUGCAAGUGCCUUUACUAACUCUUUGUUAAGUUUUGCUUUGUACUCCUUACAUCCUCUUUCUCUUAAGCCAUUGUUUUAAUUUCUUCUCGUUAUCAUUUUUAAAAGUAGCAAAUACAGCUUUCUUCCUACCUUCACGAUUGACAUGGUGGAGGUUGGGUUGCAAAGAGGAAGCAGUAAGAAAAAAUAAUUCUUCUAUACAUUCACAAGUCUUUCAAGGCACAAAAUAAAAGUAAGAAAUAGAAAAUGUGUCCUUUCUCCUAAUAAAGGUCUUUAUAAUGAAAUUUAAAUGAAGUUUUGUGUUUCAUAACAUCAGCUUUCCGAAUACUAUUGUAGAUAUUAAAAUGUGCCUAUAUGUAUUUCCUUCCACAAUAAUAAUAAUAAUAGUAAUAAUAAACUUUUUAGAUUCAAGUUAAA